rnacentral:rRNA from 1 species
UACGGAGGGUCCAAGCGUUAUCCGGAUUCACUGGGUUUAAAGGGUGCGUAGGCGGGUAAGUAAGUCCGUGGUGAAAUCUCUGAGCUUAACUCAGAAACUGCCGUGGAUACUAUUUGCCUUGAAUAUUGUGGAGGUGAGCGGAAUAUGUCAUGUAGCGGUGAAAUGCUUAGAUAUGACAUAGAACACCAAUUGCGAAGGCAGCUCACUACACAAUCAUUGACGCUGAGGCACGAAGGCGUGGGGAUCAAACAGG